CAAUAGCGUAUAUUAAAGUUGUUGCAGUUAAAAAGCUCGUAGUUGGAUUUCUGGUCGGAGCGACCGGUCGGCGUCCUUUGUGGCGUGUGCACUGUUGUCGGCUCCGUCCAUCCUAGUGGGAAGGCGCGUGGGCAUUCAUUUGUUCGCGCGUGGCCCCGCUACGUUUACUGUGAAAAAUUAGAGUGUUUAAAGCAGGCGUUCGCUGUGAAUACAUUAGCAUGGAAUAAUAAAAUAGGACUUUGGUUCUAUUUUGUUGGUUUCUAGGACCGAAGUAAUGAUUAAUAGGGACAGUUGGGGGCAUUCAUAUUCCAAUGUCAGAGGUGAAAUUCUUGGAUUAUCGGAAGAUGAACUUCUGCGAAAGCAUCUGCCAAGGAUGUUUUCAUUGAUCAAGAACGAAAGUUAGGGGAUCGAAGACGAUCAGAUACCGU
rnacentral:rRNA from 1 species